UACCUCGAAUGAUAUGAUGAUGAGUAAUACAUUUUUUUAAAGAUUUGUUUUGGAUUUUGUAGAAUCAGCCUUUGAAAUCGGGAAAUUAAAAAAUGAACAUCUCAUCUCAUCAUUAUAAAACAAUAACUGUGUGUGUCCCAAAUGUGGUACAAUUUUGUUCAGUAUCAUUUUGUUUAUCAUGUAGGGGGAAAUUAAUGUCUUUUAUCGAUUGUUAAUGUUGUUGGAAUCAUUUUUUUGCAAUGUUGAUAUGUCUUAACAGCCAACAACAACAACAAC